AGUCAUCAACCCCUCCCGUUUCGUGCGGGAACAGGGGAUUGGAGUUGGGGGCUUGCUGCCGUGAGGCGGCUCCCCUCAAAUGCAUCGGUUGGACCUGUGGGUCGAACUCGACUGGGCGUUGUACCAUCCUCGCUCGACUGAGAAGUUCCCCUUUUUGCGUCCUCCCACGACUCGCCUGUGGAGCGGCAGUCAAUGUACUUUGAA
rnacentral:misc_RNA from 1 species